ensembl:lncRNA
GGGGCCAGAGAGGCAGCCGGAGCCGGAGCCGCGCGCCGGGCUGUCCGGGCGCCCGCGAGAGCUCGCCGCGCGCCGGGGCUGGGACCGACUGGGCAGAGCGCGCCGGCGCCGCGGCCGCAGACAAAGGCGCCGCUCGCUCCCGGGCCGCCGCGCUCUCGGGCUCUGCCUUGGAGAGCUGCACACUGCCUUCAGAACGUGUCUGUGAUGGUGUGCGUGAGAGCUACGUCGCUUCAGUUGUGUCCAACUCUUGGCGGCCCUAUGGACUGUAGCCCGCCAGUCUCCUCUGUCCGUGGGAUUCUCCAGGCAAAAAUACCGGAGUGGGUUGCCCUGCCCUCCUCCAGGGGAUCUUCCUGACCCAGGGAUCGAACCCGCAUCUCUUCUGUCUCCAGCAUUGGCAGGACCCACAGUGGCUCUGGCAGCAGGCGGAGAGGGAAGAAAGACCCUUGCUUCCAGAAAAGCGCUGGUUUCGAGCAGUGGAGGAGAUAGAUGGAAGUAACCAGAGGGAUGGAUCAGGUUGGCAGCUCAGACGCUCCCAGGAGGAGGACCGCUCUGGGGACUGGCACCUCUGAACAAUGGCUCUCAGUCCUGUAUUUCCUGUAUUUCUGUCAGUCAUCUCCCAGGCACGCUGUCCUCUUUCCUUGCUCAGCCAUGUUCUUGUCUUUCUCUGAAGCAAUUAAAAAAAAAUUAUAUUCUGAAACAGUC